rnacentral:rRNA from 1 species
GACGAACGCUGGCGGCGUGCUUAACACAUGCAAGUCGAACGGUGAAGCGCCUUCCUUUUUGGUUGGUGUGGAUGAGUGGCGAACGGGUGAGUAACACGUGAGUAACCUGCCCCCUUCUUCUGGAUAACCGCAUGAAAGUGUGGCUAAUACGGGAUACUCUGGGUCUGUCGCAUGAUGGGUCUGGGAAAGAUAUUGUUUCGGUGGGGGAUGGGCUCGCGGCCUAUCAGCUUGUUGGUGGGGUGAUGGCCUACCAAGGCGGUGACGGGUAGCCGGCCUGAGAGGGUGGACGGUCACACUGGGACUGAGACACGGACCAGACUCCUACGGGAGGCAGCAGUGGGGAAUAUUGCACAAUGGGCGCAAGCCUGAUGCAGCGACGCCGCGUGAGGGAUGGAGGCCGUCGGGUUGUGAACCUCUUUCGCCAGUGAAGCAGGCCUGCCUCGUUUGUGGGUGGGUUGACGGUAGCUGGACAAGAAGCGCCGGCUAACUACGUG